UGAUGAAUGGACUUUAUAUGCAAGGCUCAGCAUAUGAAUUAUAAGUAGGCUAAGUGUCCACAUUUGUUUAUUCAAAAAAAAUAAAACAGAGAACCAUUGGUCCCUAGACAAAUAAGAUCUUAUUUUUAAAGAUAAACAUGGCUUUUGUGCUUCAAAGAGAAAGCUAUUGAGAUGUAGAUAUGAAAUAUACUACAUGACAUUUUAUAGCUUUCUGUAAUCUCAAAUUCAAAAAUAGCUCUUAUUUUUUUCCACUGAAAUACUUUAUCACAUUUCUAUCACAAUAUUUUCCUGCUUAAUAUGAUGCUAUUAUUGUUCCAAUUAUAUUUGAAAAAAAAUGUAUUACCUUUACCAUCUUUUAAACAGCUUUAAAAUAAGAAAAUAAAUGAAAAUCUAUAAGAAUAAUAAAGAUGGAUAUAUUUAGAGAUGUAAAGAAAAAUUCUGUUUUUGGUGCAUGUUUAAAUAGUGGGUUGAAUACAAUAGUCAUGUUUAGACUAGGUAUUGAAAAGGCAAAAUAAUAUAUAUGAAGAAGAUAUUUUUGUUAUGUUGAUUGAAAUAACAAUUGAAAUUUCGACAGAGAGACUGAAGAGUUAAAACACAAUUGGAACAUUUUAAGGCAUUGCAUAUUCAGGAUUAGACUAAGUUCUAAUAUUUCAACCUAUUGUAGAGAUCUCACAUUGCACAGCAAGAGAUGAGCAUGUGACCUGGAUUAGCAUCCUGGAUAGACACAGUGCCAGCAUCAUGGAUAGACACAGUACCAGCAUCAUGGAUAGAGAGUACCAGAUGCAGGAUGGCAGUCACCAGUUCCAGUAUCCAAGUUCUUCAAACCUGACUUGACAGAACAAAGAGAUGUUGUAAGUCCUUGGGUGAAAGAGACUGUGAAGACUGGAGGUUCUCUGUAAAAGUGAGAGACACACACACACAGACACACAGACACACACAGACACACACACACACACACACA
rnacentral:lncRNA from 1 species